CAUUCGAUUGUUUAUUGCCUCAUCGCCUCAGGCUGUAUAGUGAGAUUGCUAUUUACAUGACGAUUACAGGCGAAUCGAAUAACUAUUAGGUGACAGAAAAGUUAGGACCUCAUAGGGGAGAAUAGAUUUAAUGGUAUCUGGAAGUGGUGUUAGAUACUCGAUUGAAACAUGGUAUUGACGAAGGAAUACCGCAUAUGCAUGCCGCUUACCACCGAGGAGUAUCGCAUAGGCCAGCUUUACAUGAUCGCCAGGCAUAGCCACGAGCAAUCAGACGACGACGAAGGUGUGGAGGUAGUUGAAAACGUGGAAUGCGAUCACCCGGAACAUGGCAAAGGCCAAUUCACAGAGAAAAGGAUACAUUUGUCUAGUAAAUUGCCAUAUUGGAUUCAAUCGGUCCUUCCACGAAUAUUCUAUGUCACAGAGAAGGCAUGGAAUUAUUUCCCCUUCACUAUCACAGAAUACACUUGUUCGUUUAUUCCAAAGUUUCAUAUAUCAAUAGAGACGCGAUACGAGGAUAAUAACGGAUCCACAGAAAAUUGUUUAGGUUUGACGCCUAUCGAGUUAAUCCAUCGCGAGGUCGAUUUCGUAGACAUUGCGUACGACGAACUUACGCCUAAACGUUACAAAGAAGAAGAGGACCCGAAAUUUUUCCAAUCGAAAUUGACCCGACGCGGGCCGUUGGUAGAGGGAUGGAGGGAUGCCACGCAACCGAUAAUGUGUUCUUACAAGGUGGUUCGCGCUUCGUUCGAAGUCUGGGGAAUGCAAACCAGAGUGGAAGACUUCAUACACAGAUGUAUAAGGGACAUUUUAUUGUUGGGCCAUCGUCAAGCGUUCGCGUGGAUCGACGAGUGGUACAACAUGACGUUAGAAGACGUGAGGGAAUACGAGAAGAAGAUGCAGGCUGAGACGAACGAGAAAGUUCGGUUAAGGAAUCUGAAUUACGAUAAGCCUGUGACGCCCACGUCGCCGACGUCGUCGGUCCCUUCGUCGCCGUUGCCCAAAUCUCCUUCGCAAUCCGGUCGGUCGUGGUUCUCGUGGUCUAAUUAGUAAAUAGCCUGUUUAGGAGGCGUGAUUCGGAAACGUGCAUUCGCUAUUUCUUUGUGUAUAUAACGUAUACGUGUGUCUCCACAUUCAGUUAUGUAGUCGGAUAUCGGUGUCACCGAUUUACACACGGAACAGCGUUCCUGCUGCGCUGCAAUUUCUCGCCAAGAGCCGCGAAGUUCUACAGCAAUGAUACUGGGUUGUUGAAUAUUUUUAUAGUUUAAUCGGUCUACGUUUAGGGCUCAGCUGGGAGAAGCAGCUUAUAUUUAAGACUCCUGUAGAAAUAUCUUCGUCGUUCACAUUGUUUUGUAAUACCGUUAGGAAGAUUACCAUUGUCAUAUAAUGUUAGCUUGGACCUAGUCAAGUACUCUGUUAACCACCGGCUUCAGAUUGUAAAAACCAGUGAUAGAAUUUAACAAACGAAUCGUUGAUCUGCACAAAUGUUAUAAAUACAUGUUCCUCGGUGUAAUUACGAAUUAUCACGACACUGCUCGAUUGUGUUCUGUUUUAAUAAACCGGGAAGCUUGCAUUAUUUUCUGAAGCAGACUGUACGUACAUAUAGGAUUGUCAGGCUGAGUUUUAUAAGGAAAUUUUAGGAAUUAUUUAUCGAGUCUCGUUUUAAUCUUCAGCAAAUUGAAAUGGGACAGCCCUGGGUUGUCCAUCCUGGGACCAAAACGAGCGCAACGGUUCUUCGCACGCACACGCAACACGCGGUGUUCGUUUAUUUGAACAGAGAAAAAGAGAUUAAUUCCCCGGCACGUUUACAGUCAUCGUGUUCCUUUUCACCGCGGUGCAUUUAAUUGCCCUCUUGUACUGUUACCCCCGUUCCAACCCAAUCCGGUGUAUGGCAUCUCUCCCGGGGAAAUACAGCAAACAAAUAGCUUUAUUGCACGUGGAGGAGAGACCGCACAAAGGACUAAUUACAACCGCUGAAAUCCUUUAAUUUAAUUUCCUCGCGGGAUAUUACGUUCACAAUUACGACGGUAUUUAUGUCUAGCUUUUAGUAUUUAUUUUUAUGAAAAAUUAUUGUUUAACACUGCUGUCCAUUAACGUAUUUCACGAAUUAUAGAUCGAACGAGGAAUCAACAAGUUUAAUGUAAAAAACGAAAAUGUAUGGAAGACGAUUUAAUUGUUGAUGUUCAUUUGUAAUGGCAGAUGCAUUUCGGUGAUGUAUACUCGGGAGGCAGGAGAAUUAAACCAAUUUGUAGAGGUACUCGCAAAUGAAAUAAUUGUCUGGAUAGCGAAAAGGGUCGGAACUUUUAAUUGUCUUCGAAGUCGACGCGAAAUUAAUAAACUUCAAUCCACGUGUAUACAGUAGGGGGCUGCCCGACCCAGUUAUCUCUAUCUAUCUCUCUAUUUUAUCCAUUUAACGGAUCGUGAGGUACCGCAAGAAAAAAAUCGAUUAAAAGGAACAGUGUGAGUUAAUCGAUUUAUGAGGCAACUGGAGGAGUCAAUGAACACUGUUUCUCAUUAACAUCCUUUGAGUUGUACAUUUUUCGAUUUUGUUAAUUCAUUGAGAAUUUUAUAGCUCGAUAAAUCGGUUUCACGUAGGAGUUAAUAAUUUCCUUUUAAAGAAAAGAAAUGCGACGUUCUAAAAUAAACUCUGAUCGAUUAUAUUUUCCCUUUGACGAGGGCAUUAGCCAUCGUAGACGUUACGAUUGAAAAGUCACGUACCAUUGAAAAGAAAAUAGGACUUUUCAACCGCUCUUCUACGGUUCCGAGUUUAUACGAAUUUCAUUGUAACUCUGCACGGUUUCAACGAAGAAUUACUCCGCGAGGGAGAGACCAUUGCAGACGUGUUUCCAAUAUCAUAGCCCGUUACAAAAAUAAAAUAAUUCCCAAGAAUUUUCCUUUCACAUCGGCUGCCAACAUUUUGUAGUAGUUUUUCAUUUAUUUCAACGACGUUUCGC